ACAGUCCAAUCAUAAUUCUCCCAAGUGUCAGGUGUGAGAUAACUUCGAAAGGUAUCACCAAGAUGGAAUGUCGGUACCUUUGGCCUUGGCGGAAACCCUCCUCCGCAUGCGCAGUAAGACGGGCAGUAGAAACUCCAGAAACUUCCUCCAGCACAAUUAGCAGUCCCCUCCCAAAUACCAUGCCCUCCCUCCCCGUUUCAAUGGCAGCCGCAGCAGCAGCAAAGCAGAGCCUGACAGGUUUUGAUCUCCACUGAGAAUCACCCCUAAGAAAGCUGAAGUGUAAUUCUAGAAAACCUUCAUGAACUUUUAGGGCUUGGCACAUAGCUAAUCUUCGUAAGCUGAGCAGCAUCCCAUUUUAAGGCUAAGUUAUGAAGAUCAGUUGCUGGAAGUAAAAACCACUUGAUAGCAUUUAAUCAGUGGAAACCUUUUGCAAACGCCUUAGGUAGAAACUGAAGAAGGGUGUUUUUCUGCCUCCUAUCUGGAGAUGGUGCUCAAACAGGGAACACCUGUGCCUAGAAAGCGGAUAAUACCUGUGGUUGAGCUUAAAGGAGUUAAAACCAUCGAGUACUGAAUUGCUAGAAAGGUUGGAAAGCGACUGGAAAAGUAGAAGAAAGAAAGUCCAGAUGCCUUUUGAAAAAAGCACCUUUGGGAACAGCUGAACUUCCUCUUCCGGAUCACUCAUGGGAGGAGAGUGGUGUGCAGAGUGGCUUUUGUGCUCUUCCCAUGGUCGAAGCAGCAGCUGGAAGACAAAAAGGAUGGCGAUGAACACUCUGGACAACUGAAAAUAACAAGCAACCUUGACAAAGGAAGAAAAUCAAGCCAGAAAUCAGAAUAUUUUCCAUUCCGUCAGAAAACCAUACAAUUCUGAUCCUCCUCCAGCAGCUGAUAGCCAAAAGAAGGAAUAAGAAGAUUAUGCAGAACUCAGGGAUACAAUACAUGAAAAACUGAAGGGAGAAACCUUAUGAAUAUUCAGAUUGUGGGAAAGGCUUCAUUAAAAAUUCCCAUCUC